UUGAACGCUGGCGGCAGGCCUAACACAUGCAAGUCGAGCGCGAAAGGUUUUCGGACUGAGUAAAGCGGCGGACGGGUGAGUAACGCGUGGGAAUCUGCCCAGUAGUGGGGGACAACAGCCGGAAACGGCUGCUAAUACCGCAUACGCCCUACGGGGGAAAGGGGGGGAUCUUCGGACCUCUCGCUAUUGGAUGAGCCCGCGUCGGAUUAGCUAGUUGGUAGGGUAAAGGCCUACCAAGGCUACGAUCCGUAACUGGUCUGAGAGGAUGAUCAGUCACACUGGAACUGAGACACGGUCCAGACUCCUACGGGAGGCAGCAGUGGGGAAUAUUGGACAAUGGGGGCAACCCUGAUCCAGCCAUGCCGCGUGUGUGAAGAAGGCCUUAGGGUUGUAAAGCACUUUCAGUGGGGAGAAAGGUUUGUCACCUAAUACGUGAUGAAAUUGAUGUUACCCACAGAAGAAGCACCGGCUAACUCCGUGCCAGCCGCCGCAGUAA
rnacentral:rRNA from 1 species